rnacentral:rRNA from 1 species
CUACGGGACGCUCCAGUGGGGAAUAUUGCACAAUGGGCGCAAGCCUGAUGCAGCCAUGCCGCGUGUAUGAAGAAGGCCUUCGGGUUGUAAAGUACUUUCAGCGGGGAGGAAGGGAGUAAAGUUAAUACCUUUGCUCAUUGACGUUACCCGCAGAAGAAGCACCGGCUAACUCCGUGCCAGCAGCCGCGGUAAUACGGAGGGUGCAAGCGUUAAUCGGAAUUACUGGGCGUAAAGCGCACGCAGGCGGUUUGUUAAGUCAGAUGUGAAAUCCCCGGGCUCAACCUGGGAACUGCAUCUGAUACUGGCAAGCUUGAGUCUCGUAGAGGGGGGUAGAAUUCCAGGUGUAGCGGUGAAAUGCGUAGAGAUCUGGAGGAAUACCGGUGGGGAAGGCGGCCCCCUGGACGAAGACUGACGCUCAGGUGCGAAAGCGUGGGGAGCAAACAGGAUUAGAUACCCGAGUAGUC